GGAGAGUUGUCCGAGUGGUUGAAGGAGCACGCCUGGAAAGCGUGUGUACGGUGAUACUGUACCGAGAGUUCGAAUCUCUCACUCUCCG
rnacentral:tRNA from 1 species